rnacentral:rRNA from 1 species
UACGUAGGGUGCGAGCGUUAAUCGGAAUUACUGGGCGUAAAGCGUGCGCAGGCGGCUUUGCAAGACAGAUGUGAAAUCCCCGGGCUUAACCUGGGAACUGCAUUUGUGACUGCAAGGCUGGAGUGCGGCAGAGGAGACUGGAAUUCCUGGUGUAGCAGUGAAAUGCGUAGAUAUCAGGAGGAACACCGAUGGCGAAGGCAGGUCUCUGGGCUGACACUGACGCUCAUGCACGAAAGCGUGGGGAGCAAACAGG